GCGUUGAUGGUGCAACGGUUCAGCACGCGCUCGCGGAACGAGUGAGUUCUGGGUUCAAAUACCGGUUGACACA